UACGUAGGGUGCGAGCGUUAAUCGGAAUUACUGGGCGUAAAGCGUGCGCAGGCGGUGAGUUAAGUCUGCUGUGAAAGCCCCGGGCUCAACCUGGGAAUGGCAGUGGAAACUGGCUCGCUGGAGUAUGGCAGAGGGGGGUGGAAUUCCGCGUGUAGCAGUGAAAUGCGUAGAGAUGCGGAGGAACACCGAUGGCGAAGGCAGCCCCCUGGGCCAAUACUGACGCUCAGGCACGAAAGCGUGGGGAGCAAACAGGAUUAGAUACCCUGGUAGUCCACGCCCUAAACGAUGUCAACUGGGUGUUGGGGAAGCGAUUCCUUGGUACCGUAGCUAACGCGUGAAGUUGACCGCCUGGGGAGUACGGCCGCAAGGUUAAA
rnacentral:rRNA from 1 species